rnacentral:rRNA from 1 species
AUGUCGGAGACGACUGUGGUGGGCGGCGAGGAUUGCAUCAGCGCACUCCCCCUUGAUGUCCGGCUGCGCGUGCUGUCAUGUCUGCCGGCGGAAGAGGCCAUGCGCACCAUCUUCUCCGACCCCAAGGGUUUCAACAAGUUCGUGGACCAUCUACUCCUCCUCCGCAUCCACCUACCUCUCGAAAAGUGCGAGAUCUCGGCCUACUGUAACGUCGAUGAGGUUGACCCAUACCCAUACGUCAAUUUGUGGAUCCAGUAUGCUCUCAUCUGCAAGGUUCAGAUACUCGAUGUCAUCAUGCAUGACAACAUCCGUAGUUUAGACCUCACCGUGCCUCUCGCCUCCGAGCGCCUCACUACCCUAAAGCUUUACGAUGUUGACUUAGAGCUGUGCUCUGCACUUGUUGACUCCCAACCGCACCUUGAUUUCUCAAGCUGUCCAUUGUUGGUGGAUUUAAAGAUGGUUUGUUGCAAUGUUGAAGUGCACAAGAUCUCCUCUGAAUCGCUAAAGCGGCUGCGUGCCACCAGUUGUACCUUUGUUGGUUGUGGUGCUUCCCGCACUUGCAUCUGUGCACCAAGUCUUGUUUCACUACAGCUUAGUGAUUUCAUUUUGGACACCCCGUUGCUUCAAAUCAUGCCAUUGCUAGAACCAGCAUUCGUUAGGCUUAAUGACGAUUGUGGUGAUACCUAUGGUGUUACUGACCCAGGGGUGCAGAAUUGUGAGUAUGCUUCUCAAUGGUUUGCCAGAUGCUAUCCAUCUAGAGUUGAUAGCUGUUCUAAAGUGCACUCGCCUAUUCUUGAGAAGCUAACACUUCAGCUUCAUAAGGAUAAGCGGCAGCACUUCAACGCUGCAGGGGCCGACGGAAACCAUGAUUUUACAUGUGCUCACCUUAAGGCAAUUAUCAUUGAACGUCCUCCCAAAUGGAAUAUAGAGAUCGAUGAGAGGGCUUGGGAAAUUUCAGAGAUCUUAAUUACAUGCGGCAUACACCCUGAACAGUUUAUCUCCGGCUCUCCAUCCUUGUACUCCACUUGCUGGUUUGAUAUUUCCAAGAGUCUCCUGAUAGAUUUCGCCCUAGGCCGAGAUGGCCGAAAUUCGGCCGAAAUCCAUUUUUUUCGGCCGAAAUUCAAAACCCUGCUAAGCUGGCCCCGGCCAUCACAUCACAUCCCAUAUACGAGCGUCUGCCCGUGGAAACUAGCGUCCGAACAAUCCAAUCUGCUGCCGAUCCACACGAGGAUGGACCCAGCCGGCGACGGCGACGGCAUGUGCUUCCCCUACGAUGUGCUCCUUGACAUCCUCCGCCGCCUGCCGGGGCGCGACGUUUGA